rnacentral:tRNA from 1 species
AAGGGACUCGUCUAAAGGAAAGACAGCGGCCUUUGAAGCCGCCAAUCCAGGUUCGAGUCCUGGGUCCCUU